GACGAACGCUGGCGGCGUGCUUAACACAUGCAAGUCGAGCGGUAAGGCCCCUUCGGGGGUGCACGAGCGGCGAACGGGUGAGUAACACGUGAGCAAUCUGCCCAUCACAUCGGGAUAACUCCGGGAAACCGAAGCUAAUACCGAAUACGACCACCUCCGGCAUCGGAUGGUGGUGGAAAGUUCCGGCGGUGAUGGAUGAGCUCGCGGCCUAUCAGCUUGUUGGUGGGGUAACGGCCCACCAAGGCUUCGACGGGUAGCCGGCCUGAGAGGGUGACCGGCCACACUGGGACUGAGACACGGCCCAGACUCCUACGGGAGGCAGCAGUGGGGAAUAUUGGACAAUGGGCGAAAGCCUGAUCCAGCAACGCCGCGUGAGGGAUGACGGCCUUCGGGUUGUAAACCUCUUUCAGCAGGGACGAAGCGCAAGUGACGGUACCUGCAGAAGAAGCACCGGCCAACUACGUG
rnacentral:rRNA from 1 species